rnacentral:rRNA from 1 species
CAGCCGCCGCGGGAAUACAGAUGGUGCGAGCGUUAAUCGGAUUUACUGGGCGUAAAGCGUGCGUAGGCGGCUUUUUAAGUCGGAUGUGAAAUCCCUGAGCUUAACUUAGGAGUUGCAUUCGAUACUGGGAAGCUAGAGUAUGGGAGAGGAUGGUAGAAUUCCAGGUGUAGCGGUGAAAUGCGUAGAGAUCUGGAGGAAUACCGAUGGCGAAGGCAGCCAUCUGGCCUAAUACUGACGCUGAGGUACGAAAGCAUGGGGAGCAAACAGGAUUAGAUACCCCCGUAGUCCCUGUCUCUUAUAC